rfam:Bombyx mori DNA, contig: Bm_scaf814_contig44635, strain: p50T/Dazao, build 2, whole genome shotgun sequence.
UUUACUCACAUUUGUAUGAAGUUGGAAUAGCUUCCCUUAGUUUGCCGCUAGGGGCGCUGUUCAAACUCCGUACAAAUCUGAGUUA